UUUUGUUUGUUCAGAGAUCAGUUCUUCUUCAAUACAGAAACGUUUAGCAUGGCCCCAGCACAAUGAUGGCACACAAAUUUAUGAAGUGUUCCAUAGUUUU
rnacentral:snRNA from 1 species